rnacentral:rRNA from 1 species
GGUCCGUCCCNCNAGGGUUGUGUACUAGAAUAUCUGCGUCCAUCCUCAAGGAAAAAUAUAUCUGGCAUUUAGUUGUUGGGUAUAGGAUCCUCGUCAUUUACUGUGAGCAAAAUAGAGUGUUCAAAGCAGGCUUAUGCCGUUGAAUAUAUUAGCAUGGAAUAAUAAGAUAGGACCUUGGUCUAUUUUGUUGGUUUGCUGUCCAAGGUAAUGAUUAAUAGGGAUNGUUGGGGGUAUUCGUAUUCAAUUGUCAGAGGUGAAAUUCUUGGAUUUAUGGAAGACGAACUACUGCGAAAGCAUUUACCAAGGAUGUUUUCANUAAUCAAGAACNAAAGUUAGGGGAUCGAAGAUGAUUAGAUACCAUCGUAGUCUUAACCAUAAACUAUGCCCACUAGGGAUUGGUGGAUGUU